GACGAACGCUGGCGGCGUGCUUAACACAUGCAAGUCGAACGAAGUGGCGAACGGGUUAGUAACGCGUAAUCCACCUGCCCUUCAGAGGGGGACAACAGUUGGAAACGACUGCUAAUACCGCCUACUGAAGGUGGGGAUUGCGUCUGAUUACCUAGUUGGGGGGGAAACGGCCCACAAAGGCGAUGUUCAGUAGACGGGCUGAGAGGAUGAACGGCCACAGUGGGACUGAGACACGGCCAGACUCCUACGGGAGGCAGCAGUGGGGAAUCUUCCGCAAUGGAGGGAAGUCUGACGGAGGAACGCCGCGGGAGUGAUGAAGGCCUUCGGGUUGUAAAGCUCUGUUAAGCGGGACGCGGUACCGGAAUAGAAAGCCACGGCUAACUACGUGCCAGCAGCCGCGGUAAUUC
rnacentral:rRNA from 1 species